CAGUCGCCACGGGAAUACGGAGGGUGCAAGCGUUAAUCGGAAUUACUGGGCGUAAAGCGCACGCAGGCGGUCUGACAAGUCAGAUGUGAAAUCCCCGGGCUUAACCUGGGAACUGCAUUUGAAACUGUCAGGCUGGAGUCUUGUAGAGGGGGGUGGAAUUCCAGGUGUAGCGGUGAAAUGCGUAGAGAUCUGGAGGAAUACCGGUGGCGAAGGCGGCCCCCUGGACAAAGACUGACGCUCAGGUGCGAAAGCGUGGGGAGCAAACAGGAUUAGAGACCCGCGUAGUCCCUGUCUCUUAUAC
rnacentral:rRNA from 1 species